rnacentral:lncRNA from 1 species
UAUUGCUCAGAGAAUACAAAUAUUAUCAAUUUAUACAUUAUAAUCAUAUUAUUAUGUUACAUGCUAUAGUGUAUUCCAUGUUCGUUAUGUGCAUAUUGUUUUGGACUUUGCACCUGGAAUACCUAAUGACUUGCGCAUUGUUGAUUGUUUUCCGAAUGGAAAACUUUCGUAGUUCUUAAUAAAUUUUAAUUAGUCACCACGGGAUUAUCGACACGAGCUCUCUAAGUGUUCACUUGCUGUGCAAGCUAGCUUAAAAGUAUAUUUAGACGAGACCCCCAAAUAUUGCCAGAUUCCGAUAUGAAUACUACAUGAUAUCCCAUUAAGGCGACCAGGCUGAUUCCGAGGCUGAUUGCCAAUUCUGUGCAAUUGAAUGGGUCUGCUUUCGCAUUGCCUUCUUCUGCAGGGGCCUCCAUUCCAUUCCAUUCAAUUCAAUUCAGAUUUCAGAUGUUUUCUUUAC